rnacentral:misc_RNA from 1 species
AAGUCGUAACAAGGUUUCCGUAGGUGAACCUGCGGAAGGAUCAUUACCCGGUGGAGCAGGAUUCUCCUGCACCUCCCUCCCUUGUGUAUUGUUACUGUUUGCCGGUCAGCGUUCGCGCUGACUGCGCCAUUCAAACCCCUUUUUAAGAUUGUCUGAUCAAAUCAUAAUGAAUAAAACUUUCAACAACGGAUCUCUUGGCUCCA